rnacentral:rRNA from 1 species
CUUGGUCAUUUAGAGGAAGUAAAAGUCGUAACAAGGUUUCCGUAGGUGAACCUGCGGAAGGAUCAUUACAGAGUUCAUGCCCUCACGGGUAGAUCUCCCACCCUUGAAUACCUAUACCUUAGUUGCUUUGGCAGGCCGUGGAAACACCACGGGCCCCGGCUUGUGCGUGCCUGCCAGAGGAAACAAACUCUGUUUUUAGUGAUGUCUGAGUACUAUAUAAUAGUUAAAACUUUCAACAGCGGAUCUCUUGGUUCUGGCAUCGAUGAAGAACGCAGCGAAAUGCGAUAAGUAAUGUGAAUUGCAGAAUUUAGUGAAUCAUCGAAUCUUUGAACGCACAUUGCGCCCCUUGGUAUUCCGAGGGGCAUGCCUGUUCGAGCGUCAUUUAAACCAAUCCAGCUUGCUGGGUGUUGGGCCUUCGCCUCUAGGCGGGCCUCAAAAUCAGUGGCGGUGCUGCCAGGCUCUAAGCGUAGUAAAUCUCUCGCUAUAGGGUCCCGACGGUUCCCUGCCAGAACCCCCUAAUUUUUUUACGGUUGACCUCGGAUCAGGUAGGGAUACCCGCUGAACUUAAGCAUAUCAAUAAGCGGAGGA